UUGAAAUGUGCGGGAGGCAUUUGCACGUCACACAUAUUUAUAAUUCUUUUCCAGAUCAAAGAAAGAAAGAAGGGAAGGAAGGAAGGAAGGAAGGAAGGAAGGAAGGAAGGAAGGAAAGAAGAAAAUGCCUGCAAAUCCUUGGUCGUACAUACUUUCUGGUGUUUGACAUCUCCCAGACGUGGUUUGAACUUUGAACAGUCUUAUGGAAACUUUGAGAUCGUGGAAGAACCGCUCUCCCCCUGACACUGUAACAGGAACUCAUACUGAUAUUGGCUUGUUAAGUUACAGAGCAUGUGGGUUCCCAUCAGUCGACAGGGGCUGGUGUCUGAUCCUCGAAAGUAAUUUCACAGAUGUGGAAAUAGAGACGCGGAAAAGCGAUAACUCAUCCAAGUUCCCACAGCCAGCGAGUGACGGAGCUGAGCUUCGAGUCCAUGCAGCUUCCCUUGGGACUCCAUCCUUCCUCUUCUGCGGGUGGAGGUCACAAGUACCCUGCUGGGGAAAUCGAGGGCUGAGUCCUCAUAUGUCACAGCGGCCUGUUGGCAACCAACGUCCCACGCCGUCAGAGGUAGACGUGGAGGAAACGUACCUCCCAUACAUCGAUGGCGGGAGUGUUAAAUGGUACGGUCACUUUGAAAAACUCUUUGGCCAUUUUUUAAAAUAUAAUUUAUUGUCAAAUUGGCUAACGUACAGUGUGUAA
rnacentral:lncRNA from 1 species